UAAUACCGGCGGCUCGAGUGGUGGCCGCUUUUACUGGGCUUAAAGGGUCCGUAGCUUGAUUCACAAGUCCCUUGAGAAAUCCAUCGGCUUAACUGAUGGGCGUUCAGGGGAUACUGUGGUUCUAGGGACCGGGAGAGGUGAGAGGUACUGCCGGGGUAGGAGUGAAAUCCUGUAAUCCCGGUGGGACGACCUAUGGCGAAGGCAUCUCACCAGAACGGCUCCGACAGUGAGGGACGAAAGCUGGGGGAGCAAACCGG
rnacentral:rRNA from 1 species